CUUCCCAGCUGCCCCGGCGCCCGCCACGGACGUGCGCGGGUCACCGGGUCCCGAGGUCACGCGCGCGCAGCCCGCGGGGAGGCGGAGGUUGCUAAGCUGCGUCACGUGGGAGUUGCGGCUUGCGCGGAGACGCAUGCGCAGGGUGGUGAGUACUGUGCCACUUUGUCUGCCAGGCCGUUCCGUCUCCCCGAAGGGUAUUUGGCAUGCGACAUUGGGGCGGCCUUGGCCUGCUUUCUUCACUGUAAGCUGCGGAAAUCUCGGCGAGGAGCCAGGGCCAAACUGAACCUUCACAGAAGGGAAACCAUGUUGUCAUCCGGAGGACCCAAAGACCUGUGACAAAAAUUGCUAGGCUUCUGGCAUUACCAGUGCCCAACGCUCCGUUUCAGCCUAUGCGGGAAAGGUUUCCAAGAGGCAACCUUAUCAUAAAUUCACAUCAUUGAAGUAACACCAGCAUUUCUUGCUCUCCCCCAAACAUUUUCCCACUCACCAGAUUGCCAAAAAUUCAAACGAGCACCCAUAAGCAAAGAUACUAGAAACACAUUGGUUGCUAGAUUAGAGGAACUCCUGGUGACUGUGAACAGCAUUGGAACUUCAGGAGAGCUCAGUACUAUGUGAAGUAGGCAGGUGCCACCUGGAUAUGCUAACGUGAGACCCCACAAGUCCCAUGGACUCUGAAUGGAAGCUCUUCUGCUUCCACCUGCCGGUUUGGUGUCAAUAAAACUCUGUUUUCCUGUCA